rnacentral:rRNA from 1 species
AGUGAACGCUGGCGGUAGGCCUAACACAUGCAAGUCGAACGGCAGCACAGUAAGAGCUUGCUCUUACGGGUGGCGAGUGGCGGACGGGUGAGGAAUACAUCGGAAUCUACUUUUUCGUGGGGGAUAACGUAGGGAAACUUACGCUAAUACCGCAUACGACCUACGGGGGAAAGCAGGGGAUCUUCUGACCUUGUGCGAUUGAAUGAGCCGAUGUCGGAUUAGCUAGUUGGCGGGGUAAAGGCCCACCAAGGCGACGAUCCGUGGCUGGUCUGAGAGGAUGGUCAGCCACAUUGGAACUGGGCCACGGUCCAGACUCCUACGGGAGGCAGCAGUGGGGAAUAUUGGACAAAGGGCGCAAGCAUGAUCCAGCCAUACCGCGUGGGUGAAGAAGGCCUUCGGGUUGUAAAGCCCUUUUGUUGGGAAAGAAAAGCAGCAGGUUAAUACCACGCUGUUCUGACGGUAACCAAAGAAUAAGCACCGGCUAACUUCGUG